UGCAGAUUGGCUUCAUUAGUUGACACUUAAAGUAAACUUUCUGAAGCGAAGAAACAAUAUGACCUGGUGUUUAAGAACAAACGGUUUGAGGUAUCAAGGCAUUUGAAAGAAUUAUCUCAAAAAAAUGAUCAGGCCAUAAAUGAUAUUAGGGUGAAGUUUGAGGCUGCAGAGUUGCAGAAAGUUAACAUUAGAAAGUAAAGGCCAAAAAAGCCAUUCAGGAAGUAGAAAGAAAGUGUGAACAGAAGUUAGAAGAAAUCAAGGAAGAAUCGCGCCUAUAUCUGUUGCGUACACAGGAUGAACAUGCUGCCAUGGUAUGUGUUAUUCAACCAAAACUGAAUGAUGAUACAAAAUACAUUUUAUAUGCCACUAUCAAGUAGGCUAAAGUAGAAA